AUGGAGCAGGAGGGGCCGGAGUAUUGGGACCGGGAAACACUGACCCUCAAGGCCAGCGCACAGACUCACGGAGGGAACCUGGGGACCCUGCUCCGCUACCGCAACCAGAGUGAGGCCGGGUCUCACACCCUCCAGACGACUUAUGGCUGCGACCUGGGGCCUGUUGGGCGCCUCCUCCGCGGGUAUUACCAACAUGACUUUGAUGGCAAGAAUUAUAUUGCCCUGAAUGAGGACCUGUGCUCUUGGACAGAGACUGACAGGACUGCUCAAAUAACCCAGCGCAAGUUGGAGGCCGCCCAUGAGGCGGAGGGCUCAGGGCCUACCUGGAGGGCACAUGCCUGAAGUGGCUCCGCAGAUACCUGGCCAAGGGGAAGGAGACACUGCAGCAUGCAGAUCCCCCAAAGACACAUGUGACCCAUCACCCUGUCUCUGAUGGUGAGGCCACCCUGAGAUGCUGGGCCCCGGGCUUCUACCCUGCGGAGAUCACACUGACCUGGCAGCGGGAUGGGGAGGACCAAACUCAGGACACCGAGCUUGUGGAGACCAGGCCAGCAGGGGAUGGAAACUUCCAGAAUUGGGCAGCUGUGGUGGUGCCCUCUGGCGAAGAGCAGAGAUACACAUGCCAUGUGCAGCACAAGGGAUGGGAGAUGGGAGCCCCUCACCCUGAGAUGGGAGCCGUCUUCCCAGCCCACCAUCCCCAUUGUGGGCAUCAUUGCUGACCUGGUUGUCUUUGGAGCUGUGGUCAUUGGAGCUGUGGUCACUGCUGUGAUCUGGAGGAGGAAGAGCUCAGGUGGAAAAGGAGGGAGCUGCUCUUAGGCUGCAUGCAGGGACAGUGCCCAGGGCUCUGAUGUAUCUCUCAUGGCUUGCAAAGCCUACGA